AUUCGGCUUUGCACGUCCGUCUUUCUCUUACUCUCACACCUGUGCACACAUUGUAGGUCCUCGAAAGAGGGGGUAUGUUUCAAUCAUCACACACAUCGUAUGUCUAGAAUGUAUCAUGAUCGUCGUCCGACCUCGCGGUUGGAGGGUGGUCCAAAACAAAUACAACUUUCAGCAACGGAUCUCUUGGCUCUCGCAUCGAUGAAGAACGCAGCGAAUUGCGAUAAGUAAUGUGAAUUGCAGAUUUUCAGUGAAUCAUCGAAUCUUUGAACGCACCUUGCGCUCCUUGGUAUUCCGAGGAGCAUGCCUGUUUGAGUGUCAUGGAAUUCUCAACCAUGUCUUGAUUGACUUCGAGGCAUGGCUUGGAUGUGGGGGUUGCUGGCGGUGAAAGCUGUCGGCUCUCCUGAAAUGCAUUAGCGAUGGACAGCAAGUCUGACGUGCACGGCCUCGACGUGAUAAUGAUCGUCGUAGCUGGAGCGUCGGACGAGCGCAAUAUGUCCCUUUGCUUC
rnacentral:rRNA from 1 species